GUGUGAGCAGGGCUGUUGACGGUGAGACGCAAAAAUAUACGCCUCCUAAGCGGUAGGUCCCCGGUUCGAAUCCGGGCUCGCGCACCA
rnacentral:tRNA from 1 species